GAAAUGCGAUAAGUAAUGUGAAUUGCAGAAUUCAGUGAAUCAUCGAAUCUUUGAACGCACCUUGCGCUCCUUGGUAUUCCGAGGAGCAUGCCUGUUUGAGUGUCAUGGUAUUCUCAACCCUCCAGAUUCUUGUCGAGUUUGGAUGGGUUGGACUUGGAGGCUUUUAUUGCUGGUGAUCUCUCCCCGGCUCCUCUGAAAUACAUUAGCAGGAAUAUGGCUGCAUUGGCUUCAGUGUGAUAAUUGUCUACGCUGUCGCUGUGUGGCAUAUAAAAAUGGUUCUUGCUUCUAAUCCGUCUUUCUCUGAGAGACAACCUUUUCUUGACAAUCUGACCUCAAAUCAGGUAGGACUACCCGCUGAACUUAA
rnacentral:rRNA from 1 species